rnacentral:rRNA from 1 species
UACCAGCACCCCGAGUGGUCGGGACGAUUGUUGGGCCUAAAGCAUCCGUAGCCGGUCAUGCAAGUCCUCCGUUAAAUCCACCUGCUUAACAGAUGGGCUGCGGAGGAUACUACAAGGCUAGGAGGCGGAAGAGGCAAGCGGUACUCAGUGGGUAGGGGUAAAAUCCUCUGAUCCAUUGAAGACCACCAGUGGCGAAGGCGGCUUGCCAAUACGCGCUCGACGGUGAGGGAUGAAAGCUGGGGGAGCAAACCGG